UACGUAGGUGGCAAGCGUUGUCCGGAAUUAUUGGGCGUAAAGCGCGCGCAGGUGGUUCCUUAAGUCUGAUGUGAAAGCCCCCGGCUCAACCGGGGAGGGUCAUUGGAAACUGGGGAACUUGAGUGCAGAAGAGGAUAGUGGAAUUCCAAGUGUAGCGGUGAAAUGCGUAGAUAUUGGGAGGAACACCAGUGGCGAAGGCGACUCACUGGACCGGUACUGACGCUGAUGCGCGAAAGCGUGGGGAGCAAACGGG
rnacentral:rRNA from 1 species